rnacentral:rRNA from 1 species
CCCGCCGCGCGUUCGCGGCCGGCGCCCCAGGCCCGGCACGCGACCACACGAACAAACACUCGGCGCGACAUGCGCCAAGCGAAAGACGAAGCGCGGGGACGGCCCCCGCGGCACGGCCGCGGCGUCCGACCCCGGACACGGUAACCUGACACGACUCUCGGCAACGGAUAUCUUGGCUCUCGCAUCGAUGAAGAACGUAGCGAAAUGCGAUACUUGGUGUGAAUUGCAGAAUCCCGCGAACCAUCGAGUCUUUGAACGCAAGUUGCACCCGAGGCCACUAGGUCGAGGGUACACCUGCCUGGGCGUCACGCCCGACGCGCUCUCCCCCCGCCCCGCGCCCCCCCGCCCAACCGCGGGCCGCGCGGCGCGUCGACGGGGGCGAGCAGAUUGGUCGCCCCUGCCCCCCGGGGCGAGGUUGGCUGAAAAACGCUUUGCCCCACGGGCACUUCGGCACGACGAGUGGUGGCUCCGCCCUCCCCGGCCCUGCGUGGCUCGAAGUCGUGUCCGAGGCCCAGGCUCCGCAGAAGGACCCCUGCCGGCAGUCGCCUCCGCGAGCGGAGGCCUCUGCUCGGAUUGCGACCCCAGGUCAGGUGGGAACACCCGCUGAGUUUAAGCAUAUCAA